rnacentral:rRNA from 1 species
CCUACGGGUGGCUGCAGUGGGGAAUAUUGGACAAUGGGCGAAAGCCUGAUCCAGCCAUGCCGCGUGUGUGAAGAAGGCCUUCGGGUUGUAAAGCACUUUCAGUGGGGAAGAAAGCCUUGGGGCUAAUACCCUCGAGGAAGGACAUCACCCACAGAAGAAGCACCGGCUAACUCCGUGCCAGCAGCCGCGGUAAUACGGAGGGUGCGAGCGUUAAUCGGAAUUACUGGGCGUAAAGCGCGCGUAGGCGGUCUGAUAAGCCGGUUGUGAAAGCCCCGGGCUCAACCUGGGACGGCAUCCGGAACUGUCAGGCUAGAGUGCAGGAGAGGAAGGUAGAAUUCCCGGUGUAGCGGUGAAAUGCGUAGAGAUCGGGAGGAAUACCAGUGGCGAAGGCGGCCUUCUGGACUGACACUGACGCUGAGGUGCGAAAGCGUGGGUAGCAAACAGGAUUAGAUACCCCUGUAGUC